GAUGAACGCUGGCGGCGUGCCUAAUACAUGCAAGUCGAGCGAACAGAUGAGGAGCUUGCUCCUCUGACGUUAGCGGCGGACGGGUGAGUAACACGUGGAUCACCUACCUAUAAGACUGGGAUCACUUCGGGAAACCGGAGCUAAUACCGGAUAAUAUAUUGAACCGCAUGGUUCAAUAGUGAAAGACGGUUUUGCUGUCACUUAUAGAUGGAUCCGCGCCGCAUUAGCUAGUUGGUAAGGUAACGGCUUACCACGGCAACGAUGCGUAGCCGACCUGAGAGGGGGAUCGGCCACCCUGGAACUGAGACAGGGUCCAUACGCCUAAGGGAGGCAGCAGUAGGGAACCUGACGCAACGGGCGAAAGCAUGACGGAGCAAGGCCGCGUGAGUGAUGAAGGUCUUCGGAGCGGAAAACUCUGUUAUUAGGGAAGAACAAAUGUGGAAGUAACUAUGCACGUCGUGACGGUACCUAAUCAGAAAGCCACGGCUAACUACGUG
rnacentral:rRNA from 1 species